CCGAGAUGAGUUCUCCCUGACUCCUUGAGAGUCCUGAAGGAACGUUGAAGACGACGACGUUGAUAGGCCGGGUGUGUAAGCGCAGCGAUGCGUUGAGCUAACCGGUACUAAUGAACCGUGAGGCUUAACCUU
rnacentral:rRNA from 1 species